rnacentral:rRNA from 1 species
CGUCGACCGGCGCACGGGUGAGUAACGCGUAUCCAACCUUCCCAUUACUGUGGGAUAACCUGCCGAAAGGCAGACUAAUACCGCAUAGUCUUCGAUGACGGCAUCAGAUUUGAAGUAAAGAUUUAUCGGUAAUGGAUGGGGAUGCGUCUGAUUAGCUUGUUGGCGGGGUAACGGCCCACCAAGGCGACGAUCAGUAGGGGUUCUGAGAGGAAGGUCCCCCACAUUGGAACUGAGACACGGUCCAAACUCCUACGGGAGGCAGCAGAG